rnacentral:rRNA from 1 species
AUGCCCUCUUCUCCAAGAAAGGACCGAGGAGGCACCAGCGUGGACAACAAACAAAUAUCGCAAGGAGAGGGGAAGCAAAAGCAGAGCCGUCGUCGCCUCCGAACCCCACACCGUCGCAUCUCAGUUCCAAUCCCUCCCGCCGCCGCCGCGCCGCGCCUCCCUCGGCCCCGCGGAUCGCGGCUCCGGUUCCGAGUCCCCUCUCCACCCCGCCCUCCGCGGGUUCGGUCUGGUCCGCCCUCGCGCGCGCGCCCCCUUGCGUGGGCGGGCUCUCCUGGGGUUUUGGCGGUGGGUGGCAUGCUCUCCGGCGACCUGGUGCGGUGA